AUACUAACCAAGCAUGUUAUAUCAGAUGACCCAGCUAGCUCGGUUGAUACAUCAAUCUCGCAUAAUGAAUCAACAUAUCCUCCUAAAGCUACGGGAGCGUCUGAUGUAAUUGCAGAUAAAAAUAUAAAAGAAAAUACGCAAGUAACAGAAGAAGAACGCAAACGAGACCGUAAAAAAGCUUUGAGGAGAGCUGCAUAUCGGCAGAGAAAAGAUCGGAAUCUCCAAGAUGAACAUGCACAGGCCCUUAUUUUAUCUGCCAACCCAACUAGCUCCAACUAUACAUCAUUC